AAAAUGUAACUGAGAAUGUCUCUUUUUUUUCUUCUCUCCAUCCCUCACCCUCCUUGGACUCUUCCUGGACUCCUCCUUUCUGUGUUUAACUGCAGACCCUCACUGCUGGUGAAUUAUUGCUGACUCUGAGCUAAGUGGCCUAGUGUUCCCUGUCUACUCCACUUUGGACGUCUUGGUGACUCCUUGGUGAUCUGACAGUGUCCUGCUGGCCAGCAUCUCUCCUCUCUAUCAUAAACGCUCUCUGUCUAUCCUAUACCUUCUAUCCACUCUGUCUCAUUAUUGGAACCUCUAUCUAUCCUAUCAAAUCUACCGCUCUGUCUACAAUAUACAAUUCAGGUUACUAAUACCUGAUCUAACCACAUAACGUUGGUUACCCUUUAUUACCCUUUUUUAUUACCCUUUAACAACCUCAGAAGUACCUGAUCCAUCUUUUGAUGAACAAACUCUGCUGAACCACAUAACGUUGGUUACACUUCGUUACAACAACCUCAGGUUACAAGUACCUGUUCUACUAGAUCUACUAUCAGAUUAUCCUCUUUUAAUCUCCUAUCUACACGCAAUAGAAUACAAUUACUAUCUACAAAUUGGGCAAAGCUUUUGGAAUAAACGGAGUCUGUUUUAGUCAGAAUUAGUUUGAACGUAAAAUUGGAAAAAAGGGUAACAGGAUAGCACGGUUUCUUUAAUUGAAUAUCACUAGAUAUAUUAUCAAAAUUAUUGUUUACUUUAUUUAAAAUCUUUUUUAUAUACGCAUACAUUGUUUAAGUGUCCAAGUGUUUUGUUGUUAAAAUUUUCAUACUGAAAUAAAAUACAAGCAUCUGUCAGAAUUGGA